UACUUGGUACAGAUAAGGACCAACUACAAUGGAGGCGGCUCUCCCACAGCUCAUUAACUCUUCCCCACUGUCCCAAGAAUUGAUAACCAUGGGAAAACCAACUGGAAAAUGCGAGAUGAAACAGAAAAGCCCUUCUUAGGUAGCCAUCAGCAACCCAUGUGCAUUUGCCAACCAAAGAGGAUAAAAAACUUGGGAGGAGAAAACGGGGUGGGUGGUGGUUAUUUAAAAAUAGCACUUAACCUUUGAAAGCCAACGUCUAGCUGAAAUGGGAAGUGACGGAGAAGACCAUGUGUGUCGGGGACCAUGGCCACGCAGCGUGUGAAGUAGGAGUGGGCUUAUCAAUGCUGGUAGUUUCACAAUGAGAUACUAUUUGAACCUCGAACCAGGAUCUGUGCUCAGAAUGGAAGUGAGUGUUCGCUCCACAGUAAGUUUGCAGUUUCCUCGAAGAUAGUUUUUUUGUUGUUGUUGCUGUUGUUUUUGUUGUUUGUUUGUUUUUAAGAAGCCUAGACACUAGAGAUGGAACUAAUUUGUUCAUGGGAAAAAGAAUAGUAAAGUGCUUCCACUGCCUGCUAUAACCAAUUUGUGUUUUCUUCCAGCACUAUGAGAACCAAGUAUAGCAAAACAAUGCCACACAGUGAAAGAAAGCUUUUAGUUUUUUUUAAAAGUGACGAGGGCGGCACCUGGGUGGCUCAGUCAGUUGAGCGUCUGACUUCGGCUCAGGUCAUGACCUCGUGGUCUGUGAGUUCGAGCCCCACGCCGGGCUCUGUGCUGACAGCUCGGAGUCUGGAGCCUGCUUCGGAUUCUGGGUCUCCCUCUCUCUCUGCCCCUCCCCACUCAUGCUCUCUCUGUCUCUCUCUUUCUCUCUCUCUCUCUCUCUGUCAAAAAAUAAAUAAACAUAAAAAAAAAGUGAUGAGGAAGUUUGUGUUUUUAAACACACACACACACACACACAUAUGUUGGGUUUACCUAAAUAAUCAACCAAAACAUGUUUCUACCAUAUCAUUUUCUUGUCAAGCAGAUGGUAUUUUUCUUUUUCCCGGAAACUCAAUGUCAGAAGCAUAUGAUGACUGAGAGUUUUUCAACAGACAACUGGAUAAUUUGGGGGUCAGAAUUUAAAAGUCUUAUAUCAAAUUCAUUUGUAGGAAGAAUUAGUCUAACAAUGCCUGAAGUGAGUUGUCUCUAUGCUUGAGCUCAGGGUCUAUCAAUUUUUCUAGGAAUAUGGGUUCUUUGCCUUAUUCUUAGAGCUUUUGAAAUCUAGUAGACUAGGGGCGCCUGGGUGGCGCAGUCGGUUAAGCGUCCGACUUCAGCCAGGUCACGAUCGCGCGGUCCGUGAGUUCGAGCCCCGCGUCAGGGUCUGGGCUGAUGGCUCAGAGCCUGGAGCCUGUUUCCGAUUCUGUGUCUCCCUCUCUCUCUGCCCCUCCCCCGUUCAUGCUCUGUCUCUCUCUGUCCCAAAAAUAAAUAAAUGUUGAAAAAAAAAAUUAAAAAAAAAAAGAAAUCUAGUAGACUAAAAAAUUGCAGCUUUUGUUUUUUUUUAAAGCAUGUUUACUUCCAAAUAUUCAAGCACGCAAUUUCCUCAUUCUGACACACGUUUCAAGGACAGAGUUCUGUCUUUCCACUUGCACUGCCACCAAGAGCUACAUCUGAAAGCGGACGUAUAGACGUAGCCCUAAAGCAGACUGGGCUUGCCAAAAUUUCUUCUUGAGCCCCAGAGUGAUUCACUCUAAAGAAGACUGUCCGUUGUCCUCACAGACUCUCGAGAGGGCAGGAACCAACUUCCCUUUUGAGCUUCUCCUUUCUUUCAAGAGUGGUAGGUUUCCUCCACCUGCCCAACGAGUAUUCUCACGAUCACAACGAGGCUUUAUCAGAAACACAGACUUGUAGUCCUUAAAAGGCAGAAAAGGGGAGAUAAGAGCCAGGCAGCCUACCCCACGCUGACUUGUAGACAGGACUUCUGAGAGCCUGCACGCCGUGCACUGAUAUGUUUCUGCUUCGUCGUGAGGAAAGUACUCUUUCCUUCAGCAGGCCUGAAAUAGAAUCACUUUCCUCACCCAAACACAGCCGAGAACAGCAAGGCAGAAAGCAGAGGCUGUUGGCCAUGACGCCCAGCACCAAGAAGAGGUGGGGAGCUGUGGGGUACGGUCCCUCCUGGGUAACAAUAAGCCUGGCAGCCAGUUUCUGCAAAGCUUGGCCAAGGGAAAAGAAAGCCUCUUUAGAAAUACAGUUGGCAAAACACUGAAUAUAAAAGGGAUACUCUGAGCGACUGCAUAAUUACAGACUCAGAGUAACUCUCUAAACUGGAUCCCCAUAGUAUAUCCUUUGUAUGCUUGUGGGGAGUCUAGACCCCCACUGCACAUCCUUUUACAAAACGGUUCUGCAGGCUUCCUUCUCCCUUCAUGACAAAAAGCGUUGGAGAUGGACGGAGAGGGAAAAAAGUAAACCCGGGAAGAUACUGAUACGUUCUCUCAUCUACUGCAUGAGGCUUAGAACCUUGGAUCUGAGUUCAAACCCAGACUCUACUACUUCCUGCCUACGUGCUGUCUUACCCCCUUCGAGAGACCUAGUCCCCAGGGCUUCCACUUCUAAGACUGUGCUGAUGAAGAGAGGUAAAGCAGGUCAAGCCCUCAGUACAGGGCCUGGUAUGUGGUGCAGCCAGUCCGUGACUCAGCUGCAGUAGCGUCCCCACCCCGCCCCCCGUGUCUUUUGUGUGUCCCUUGCACCCAGACUGUUCACCCAUCGCAACGCCUAUGACACUUCCCUGUGCUUUUGUGCUUACAAAUGCAUCCCCAGAUUGUAAGUCCUGGGAGGGCAGGAUUGACUCACCCUAUAUUCUCAAUACUGAGCACGUACGUAUGCACAUGUGUGUGUGUGUGUGUGUGUGUGUGUGCGUGCGUGUGCACACACACGCACACCACUAUGAGGUUAGCCAAUGUCUGCUGAACAAACAAGCGAAGGAAUGGACAGGCUGUUAGGUUACUCUCGGUGUUUAUUUCCAUGGGAUUCCAGUUUUAAAUGCCUUUGUCCUGAUGUUGUCCUAGAUGGCUAACUUGUCCAGGUGAACUGAACCUGCUGAGCACGUCGGGAUCCUGCUGUAACACCAACUACACAAUGCUGCUGAGACAAAGAUCCCCCAGUCUGGGUGAGUUACGGUCUGUACUAACACAAGCUCCCAUCCCAGGUCUUUAAACAGGCUCCCAUAUCUACUGGAGCAAGACAACGGUGCUCCUUUUUAAUUGGGAAGUUCUAGAACCAAACUCCACUUUGGCCCGGGGAAAGCAUCCUUUCACUGUUUUCAGAAUGUUUAAGAAGGAGGGCAAGAGGAAAUGAAAAGUAAGUCGUUAGCACAUACACACGCGCACACACACACAUUCAGAGAAAGAGCAAUUUCCCUGCAGUGAGCAAGUGUCAGGCUGGAGAACUCCAGAGCUCACGGCCAGCUCGGCCAAGCAGAAGCCAGCCUGCUGAGGCCAAACACCAGCCAUGUUAUCCCCGCAGCUCUGGCUCAAGGCAGGGCAAGAACAUCCUCUCCCACUGCUUCCCAGCAGCCAAUCUGCUCCAUUCCUCACUCUGAGGACAGCCCUCCUUGUUCAUAGCUUUAGGGAGAAAGCUAGGUUCCUCAAUCAAGGAACUCUCCUCAGACGUACUCUCUAGCAUAUUUUCAUGGACACGGAAUCACUACUAGAAGAUACCCCUGAGGAGCCUCUGGAAUAAAAGGCCCAGCACAGUCUUGAUACGCCCAUGACUGACACACAAGCCACACUGGCCACAAAGCACAAAAUACCUUCCAAGAUCUUUCAGAAAUGUAAUUUG